GGAGGAGUGCCGGAGUGGCCGAUCGGAGCCGCCUUGAAAGCGGCCGUGGGGAGACCCACCGCGGGUUCGAAUCCCGCCUCCUCCGCCA
rnacentral:tRNA from 1 species